GGUGAGGUGCCUGAGUGGCCGAAAGGACUUGUUUGCUAAACAAGCGUACCAGCAAUGGUACCCGGGGUUCGAAUCCCCGUCUCACCG
rnacentral:tRNA from 1 species